rnacentral:rRNA from 1 species
GACGAACGCUGGCGGCGUGCUUACACAUGCAAGUCGAACGGAAAGGCCCUGCUUUUGUGGGGUGCUCGAGUGGCGAACGGGUGAGUAACACGUGAGUAACCUGCCCUUGACUUUGGGAUAACUUCAGGAAACUGGGGCUAAUACCGGAUAGGAGCUCCUGCCGCAUGGUGGGGGUUGGAAAGUUUCGGCGGUUGGGGAUGGACUCGCGGCUUAUCAGCUUGUUGGUGGGGUAGUGGCUUACCAAGGCUUUGACGGGUAGCCGGCCUGAGAGGGUGACCGGCCACAUUGGGACUGAGAUACGGCCCAGACUCCUACGGGAGGCAGCAGUGGGGAAUAUUGCACAAUGGGCGGAAGCCUGAUGCAGCAACGCCGCGUGCGGGAUGACGGCCUUCGGGUUGUAAACCGCUUUCGCCUGUGACGAAGCGUGAGUGACGGUAAUGGGUAAAGAAGCACCGGCUAACUACGUG